rnacentral:tRNA from 1 species
GCCAACGUAGCUUAGGUUGGGAGAGCGCUGGACUGAAGAUCCAGUUGUCGUGAGUUCAAAUCUCGCCGUUGGCACCA